rnacentral:rRNA from 1 species
CGUGCAGGCGGCCACCGCAAGUUGAAUGUGAAAUCCCUGGGCUUAACCCGGGAAGUGCGUUCAAGACUGCGGGGCUUGAAUACGGGAGAGGAUCGUGGAAUUCCUGGUGUAGAGGUGAAAUUCGUAGAUAUCAGGAGGAACACUCGUGGCGAAGGCGACGGUCUGGACCGAUAUUGACGCUGAGACGCGAAAGCGUGGGGAGCGAACA